AUUGAACGCUGGCGGCAGGCCUAACACAUGCAAGUCGAACGAGCGGCGGACGGGUGAGUAAUGUCUGGGAAACUGCCUGAUAGAGGGGGAUAACUACUGGAAACGGUAGCUAAUACCGCAUACUAUCAGAUGAGCCCAGAUGGGAUUAGCUAGUAGGUGGGGUAACGGCUCACCAAGGCGACGAUCCCUAGCUGGUCUGAGAGGAUGACCAGCCACAAUGGAACUGCGACACGGUCCAGACUCCUACGGGAGGCAGCAGUGGGGAAUAUUGCCCAAUGGGCGCAAGCCUGAUGCAGCCAUGCCGCGUGUAUGAAGAAGGCCUUAGGGUUGGAAAGUACUUUCAGCGGGGAGGCGUUACCCGCAGAAGAAGCACCGGCUAACUCCGUGCCAGCAGCCGCGGUAAUUC
rnacentral:rRNA from 1 species